GACUCUCGGCAACGGAUAUCUCGGCUCUUGUCACGAUGAAAAACGUAGCGAAUUGCGAUACUUAGUGUGAAUUGCAAAAUCCCAUGAAUCAUCGAGUUUUUGAACACAAUUUGCGCCCGAGGGCUCGGUCGAGGGCACGUCUGUCUGGGCGUCG
rnacentral:rRNA from 1 species